rnacentral:rRNA from 1 species
UAGGGAAUCUUCGGCAAUGGGGGCAACCCUGACCGAGCAACGCCGCGUGAGUGAAGAAGGUCUUCGGAUCGUAAAACUCUGUUGUUAGAGAAGAACACGAGUGAGAGUAACUGUUCAUUCGAUGACGGUAUCUAACCAGCAAGUCACGGCUAACUACGUGCCAG